CCAGACUCCUACGGGAGGCAGCAGUGAGGAAUAUUGGUCAAUGGGCGCGAGCCUGAACCAGCCAAGUCGCGUGAGGGAUGACGGCCCUACGGGUUGUAAACUUCUUUUGUCAGGGAGCAAUUGGGUCCACGCGUGGGCUUAGCGAGAGUACCUGAAGAAAAAGCAUCGGCUAACUCCGUGCCAGCAGCCGCGGUAAUACGGAGGAUGCGAGCGUUAUCCGGAUUUAUUGGGUUUAAAGGGUGCGUAGGCGGAAUAUCAAGUCAGCGGUAAAAAUUCGGGGCUCAACCCCGUCGUGCCGUUGAAACUGGCGUUCUUGAGUGGGCGAGAAGUAUGCGGAAUGCGUGGUGUAGCGGUGAAAUGCAUAGAUAUCACGCAGAACUCCGAUUGCGAAGGCAGCAUACCGGCGCCCAACUGACGCUGAAGCACGAAAGCGUGGGGAUCGAACAGGAUUAGAUACCCUCGUAUGG
rnacentral:rRNA from 1 species